GAACUGAAGAGUUUGAUCAUGGCUCAGAUUGAACGCUGGCGGCAGGCCUAACACAUGCAAGUCGAGCGGAUGAGAGGAGCUUGCUCCUUGAUUUAGCGGCGGACGGGUGAGUAAUGCCUAGGAAUCUGCCUGGUAGUGGGGGAUAACGUCCGGAAACGGGCGCUAAUACCGCAUACGUCCU
rnacentral:rRNA from 1 species